rnacentral:rRNA from 1 species
AUACGUAGGGUGCAAGCGUUAAUCGGAAUUACUGGGCGUAAAGCGUGCGCAGGCGGUUUUGUAAGGCAGGGGUGAAAUCCCCGGGCUCAACCUGGGGACUGCCUUUGUGACUGCAAGGCUAGAGGACGGCAGAGGGGGGUGGAAUUCCGCGGGUAGCAGUGAAAUGCGUAGAUAUGCGGAGGAACACCGAUGGCGAAGGCAAUCCCCUGGGCCUGUACUGACGCUCAUGCACGAAAGCGUGGGGAGCAAACAGGAUUAGAUACCCUGGUAGUCCACGCCCUAAACGAUGUCAACUGGUUGUUGGGUCUUCAUUGACUCAGUAACGAAGCUAACGCGUGAAGUUGACCGCCUGGGGAGUACGGCCGCAAGGUUGAAACUCAAAUGAAUUGGCGGGG